AGCUUGCUCCUCUGACGUUAGCGGCGGACGGGUGAGUAACACGUGGAUAACCUACCUAUAAGACUGGGAUAACUUCGGGAAACCGGAGCUAAUACCGGAUAAUAUAUUGAACCGCAUGGUUCAAUAGUGAAAGACGGUUUUGCUGUCACUUAUAGAUGGAUCCGCGCCGCAUUAGCUAGUUGGUAAGGUAACGGCUUACCAAGGCAACGAUGCGUAGCCGACCUGAGAGGGUGAUCGGCCACACUGGAACUGAGACACGGUCCAGACUCCUACGGGAGGCAGCAGUAGGGAAUCUUCCGCAAUGGGCGAAAGCCUGACGGAGCAACGCCGCGUGAGUGAUGAAGGUCUUCGGAUCGUAAAACUCUGUUAUUAGGGAAGAACAAAUGUGUAAGUAAC
rnacentral:rRNA from 1 species